UGACAUUUUACAAAUUGGAAGUUGAUAGAACUAAUAUUUUUAAAAUUUAUAUUUAAUUCAAAUGAAACAUCAUCAAUUGAACAAAUAAAAAAAAUAUUUUUAUGUUGACUUAGGUAAGAAAAGUAAUCAUAAUACGGAUAUAAUUUUGCACUAUCUAAGUUAUGAAUAACAAAAUAUAAUGGUAUAUUUGAUUGGAUUACUUUUUGUGUUAAUUUAUUUAAUAAAUCAAAAGGUUUCAUAUUUCUAGGUGGUUUAAAUUGAUAAUGAUACUCUAAUAUACGUAUUAAAAUUUCAUUAAAAUUGAUAUCUUCUUCAAAACCUAGAAUAAUACAUUUAUUUCCAUCAUUUAAGCAUAUCGUAGCAAAUAAACUUAAAAUGUGAUAUUUCGAACCUAUUCCAUAUAAACAUAUAUGUAUAUUAUUCAACAAAUAAGCUUUCCAUUUUAUAAAUUGUUUUAUAUUGUAUAAAAAUAAUGAUCUUUUUUCUUUUAUAUGAGUAUAUGGUAAGUUUUUGAUUAAUGUUUUUAAUUUUUCAACAUGAUCUAAUUUUUUUAUAUUUUCUUCAGUUAUAGGAAUAUAUGGUGAUAAAUAUUUGAUUUUGUAAUUAGGCUUUAUAAUUUCUUUUAUAUUUAAAGUAGAAUAAUAAUCGUAAGAUAUUAAUUUUUGUGUUGCGUUAUCUACAAGAUCUUCUAUAUUUUCUUCAUUAUUUUCAAAAUCGUCAUCACCUCGUGUAUUUUUUUUUUUACCUUUUUUUUUUUUUUUUUUUUUUUUUUUUUUUUUUUUUUUAUUUUUUUUUUUUUUUUUUAAAUUUUUUUUAUUUUUUUCUAAUAAUUUUUUUUUAUUUUUUUCUAACAAUCUCAUAUUUCUCCUUUCUAUUAAUAACCUUCUUUUUUCUUCUAAAAUUUUUUUCAUUUUUUCUCUUUUUUUUUUUUGUUCUAAAUCGAAAGCAUUGGUUAAAAAGUAAGGAAUAAUAUUUGUUUCAUUUAAUUUGUCAUAAUCUAUAUUAAUAAUAUCAUUAACUUUCAUUACAUUACUAUUUUUAUCAGGUAUAUUUUUUUUUAAAAAAUGUUUUAAUUCAUUUUGAAUGUGAUUUUUUAAAAAUUGCAUACUUUCAUUGUUUAUGUUCGAUUCAUAUUUUUCAACAUAUGUUUUUUUAAAUGCUUUAAUAAGUUCAUCAUUCAUAUUUUUAUUGUUACUGUCAUAAUUAUUACCAUAAUAAUCAUUACUAUCUUCAUCAAUAUAUGUUUCGUUAAAUUCUCUGUUUUGUUCUAGUAACAUAGUUAACGAUUUAUUUAGUUUUGUUAUAUCAUAUUCAUAACUGUUAUCAUCAACAUUGGUAUCUGUCAUUUCGUUUGGGUUUGCACUUCCGUCGUCGUUUAAAUUUGCAUUUUCAU
rnacentral:lncRNA from 1 species